rnacentral:rRNA from 1 species
GACCUGCGGAGGGAUCAUUACACAAAUAUGAAGGCGGGCUGGAACCUCUCGGGGUUACAGCCUUUGCUGAAUUAUUCACCCUUGUCUUUUGCGUACUUCUUGUUUCCUUGGUGGGUUCGCCCACCACUAGGACAAACAUAAACCUUUUGUAAUUGCAAUCAGCGUCAGUAACAAAUUAAUAAUUACAACUUUCAACAACGGAUCUCUUGGUUCUGGCAUCGAUGAAGAACGCAGCGAAAUGCGAUAAGUAGUGUGAAUUGCAGAAUUCAGUGAAUCAUCGAAUCUUUGAACGCACAUUGCGCCCUUUGGUAUUCCAAAGGGCAUGCCUGUUCGAGCGUCAUUUGUACCCUCAAGCUUUGCUUGGUGUUGGGCGUCUUGUCUCUAGCUUUGCUGGAGACUCGCCUUAAAGUAAUUGGCAGCCGGCCUACUGGUUUCGGAGCGCAGCACAAGUCGCACUCUCUAUCAGCAAAGGUCUAGCAUCCAUUAAGCCUUUUUUUCAACUUUUGACCUCGGAUCAGGUAGGGAUACCCGCUGAACUUAAG